rnacentral:rRNA from 1 species
UUUCUUUGCUGGCGACCGGCGCACGGGUGAGUAGCACGUAUCCAACCUGCCCUUUACUCGGGGAUAGCCUUUCGAAAGAAAGAUUAAUACCCGAUAGUAUAAUGAUUCCGCAUGGUUUCAUUAUUAAAGGAUUCCGGUAAAGGAUGGGGAUGCGUUCCAUUAGGUUGUUGGUGAGGUAACGGCUCACCAAGCCUUCGAUGGAUAGGGGUUCUGAGAGGAAGGUCCCCCACAUUGGAACUGAGACACGGUCCAA